ensembl:lncRNA
GCCCCCGGAGACUUUGAGCCAGGGAGUCCCCAGAAUCAUUAGCACCCUGGGGUGUGGAGGCCCCUUCCAUUGCUGACAUGCACACAUCUGAUAAAGUGGUAUGGGCUCUUUCCGGGCACAGCAGAGGCCUCAUGGUGGCCAAGGAAGACCCUGUCCCUGCCCCAAGAAUGGCAGACAGGCCCCUUCCCUUCCACAGAGCUGCGGUGGGCACAGAAGAUCAUUACAGCAAAUCAAGAGGCUGAGAAUUCAGGGGAGAGUCCUCUGGAUGGGAAUCAUAGAGAGGGGAUAAUGAUGUGUGUGUCAUGAGAGCCUCCUGCAUGCCAGGCCCUGGGCUCAAGCUGUUUGCAGACAUUAUUUUCUGGCUGACCCUCACGCUGAUCCUUACAGGGAGGAGCUGCCACUCGCUCCAUUUUGCAAAUGAGGACACCGAGCUGUACAGAAUGUAAGUUACAUGGGCCCACCACAAGUUAGCGAACACUCACGAUCCAAAGCCCCCAGGCCUGAUUCCAGACCCCUAAUGCUUUCAUCUCCCAAAGUGCAAAUUCAGGGAGCUGGUUCUUAUGGGCUGGAAUCUUGUUUCUCAGCUCCUCCCUAGACAAGCUCCAUUCCACCCACCCUCAAAUAGGUUCCCAUCCCUAUCCAAGGGAGGAAAUUGAAAUCCCCAAGCCAGGAGGCCAGGAGCCAGCAUGUUCCAAACCUGGCCCUGUCACCCAGAGGCCAUCAGCGCCUGCUGCUCCUGCAGGAGCCACACAGCACUGUGCUCACAGACCAAGCCUUAGUGCCACCGGGACCCAGGCCUGUGUCCCAGCUCCACCAGCCCCCAGCUCUGUAACUGAAGAAAAACAACUUCAACUCUCUGAAUGUCAGCUUCCCACCUGUGAUAUUUGGACAAGAUUCUUUAUUUUAGACUCAUAUAAACUAAAUAAGAUAAAGAAUACACGAAGAAUCUGGCAUGUAGCUUGUGCUCGGCUAAUGCUAGUUCCUCACGUGAUUUCCCUGUAAGGCAACACCCCCCAGACACAGCGCAUCAUUCCAUCAGCUGCUUCUGAUUUUUUCUGGCACCCCUCUCCCUCACCAAGAAAGGAGAUAACUAAAUAUUUCUGAAUAGGAGGCAGGAAAUAACCAGGUAGGCCCCAGCUGCCUUUGCACGUUACUUUACAUUUUUAUGAAAUGAGGAAAUUCCCUCUCUCACCUCCAAGUUCCUGGGCUUAAUGAACCCAGCCUAGGAGGAAAACAUUCGCUGCUACUCUCUGGUUGGUGUGUGGGUGGGAAAAGCAGACAUCCCCUGGUCCCACCACCCCCAGGCCCACCGGAGCAAAAGAUGAGUCCUCUGUCUUCACUGACGCCAGGCGGGGAGGUGGGCAUAUCUUGAAUUAUCCUACAGUAGAGCUCACACCGAAAUGCACUUCCAGGCUUUAGGAAUAUCCAGGAUAUGAAAAGCCAAAUGUGCAGAGGAAUUCUAUCAGGAAAGGGGCAGACGCCAUCCCCAUUUCAAGGGAAAGGACACAGACAUGCGUAUAAAGACUUGGAGAGUCCCCAGACGUCGGAGGCACCAGCAGCCUCCUCUGACUGGCCCUGCGACUGUUCCUCAGGCCAACUGUCUUGACAAUGUGCAUCAGAAAGCCUGAAUCUGCCUGGGCACAGUGGCUCAGCCCCUGUAAUCCCAGCACUUUGGGAGGCUGAGGUGGGAGGAUCACUUGAGCCUAGGAGUUCGAGACCAGCCUGGGCAACACAGCGAGACACCCUCUCUAAUGAAAUUUAAAAAAAAACAAAAACAAAAAACAAAGAAAAAG